rnacentral:lncRNA from 1 species
ACAACAAAAACUUGUCAAAUGCAAAACAGAGAUUCAUGAUCUACGCAUAUUAAACUUGUCAAAUGCAAAACAGAGAUUCAUGAUCUACACAUAUUUUGAUUUGAGUGUCUUGUCUCCUACUUGGCCUAUAUAAGACAGAUUUGGUAUCUUCGACAUCAAAAACACAUUAAAAAAAAAAACACAUUAAAUUUCAUAGCAUAGACAAUUCACAAGCAACAUUGAACUUGCCUUCUCCACUGCAUUUCUCCUCUUGGCUUCUCCACUUGCAGUUCUCCAUUUAUACUCAACAAAAACAGAGAGAAAUAAAGCACAUUAGCAUAAACAAUUCACAUUCAAAAACAAUAUAUUGAUUCAACAACCUAAUCAAACACAACCAACCACACUUUCUAAUUUCUCAACAACCAACAAUUUUCAAGAAUAAGAAGAAAUUUAACUACAUAAACAGCAUGAGUCUUAAUAUUUAGCUAUGCUAUUCAUAUCCGUAAUUUUCAAUUGUUCCACACAAUCAUGAGUCUUAAAAGGGAAUAAGAAUAAGAAGAAAUUUGAUGGCCCUGCUAGUGAGAGUCGCUGUGAUUCUUGAUGAUCUCAACUAAAAGAUUGUCUCCAGCCACUUCUCGCAUCCUCAUCAACAAUCCAUUAUUUCCUUCAAUAAACCAUCAAAACAAAACAGAGCUUUUCUUUAAUCACCUAAUCAGUCCUUAGUUGCAAUAUAUAACCAUCCAUUGUGCAAUUCUUUCACUAUCUUCUUCAUUCUCAGUUCCUCCUGCAUCAUCAUCAAAAUACAAGCUUUGUUAUUAUGAAACUGUUUUGGUUGUCAGAGAAAAGGUUUUGUCUUUGAAAACUGUUUUGAGGUGGUUCUUUGAAAGCUUGCAUAAUGACUACAUAAACAGCAUAUACAACUCAAUAACCCAAAGCAUUGACUGAAUUGAAAAUGAGAGGUAAGAAACCACAUCACGGAAUUUCACAACAUACAAAUCCAGCAGGAGGAAAUAGUUUGAAAAUUUCAUCACAUCAACUCAUCUUACAGGAGAACAGACUCAAAAUUCACCCUAUCCGCUGUUAAGACCAAAGAUUCCACAAUUUUGUUCCAUUGCAGUAAUCGAUGGAACAAUAGCAAGAACUUACCGAAAUUUUCGAUGUCGUCGAAAGAGAGAGAGAUGUGUUCUUCCCAAUCAAUAGAAUUUUUGCAGAAUCACAGUGAGAGAAUCACAAAUUGAAGUAUAACACAUAAGAGAUUCGUGUAUAAAGCUUCAUACUUGGAAUUGCAGACAGAGAUUAAGGCACACCCUUCACCCAACUGAGAUUUCGCAAUCGGAGAAAUCAGAAAGAGAGAGAGACACGC